GGAAGUGCGUAACGCUGAUGAUGGGCUGGUGGCAGCGAGUUACGUGCUGUCCCGACCUGAAAAGCUGGAUUGGCAACGACACCUGAUGUCCCAGCGGAGGGCUGCUGCUGUGCCGUCUGUACAGGAUUGAACCACACCUUUUUCUGGCACAUCCAUUCUGAAAUAUUUUGUUUUCUUUGUGGGGUUAUAUCAAACAUUUUUCUGGAACAUCCAUAGUCACUUAUAGUCACCAAAGCUGCACUGCAGCCUUAUGAGAGAUGCUCUUGCUAUUACUACAGCCUUCCUUCCUCUGAGAUCUCCACUGCAUCUUCCAGGCCAGGGAACUGGACAAAUUGCCAUGACAGAAGCUGAAAAGCAUUUGGACACCUUCAUUUCUGGUGCAUUCCUUCUCUCCAGUACUGAAAUCUGCAAUGAGUUGCAGUUGGUAAAAUGAAAAUGUCUUAAUUCAGGAAAUGUAGAUGAAAACAUUCAGCAUGGAAUCCAGGCAACAACAAGUAAGUAAGUUAUUCACAGAAUGAAAGAAGAUGCAGCUUUGGUGCUGCUAGGAGGAGCGUAAAUCUGAGAAGGAGAUUUUUAGUGCACUCUAAUAGAUCAGUUCUCCUAGCAACAUUUUCUUCAGCUUUAGAAAUGCCUUGUCUCUGGUCCAAAUUGUUAGCUUAAUUGCCCUGAUUAUCAUUCAGUCUGUUCUAAGGAACUUUGUGAUGCACAGUAGCAUGCCAAGAAAAUGUAAGCAUCAUUUUGUAUUCUUACUAUACUCACAUUUUUCAUUAUUGCUUUUCAUGAUUGCUUAGGGUCAUGAUUUCAGACUGCCUCCCUAUGGAAAACCAGACUCUUCAAGGAGAUUAGGUAAAGUGCAGCUCUAUCCAGAGCUGCCUUAACCCUGGUGCUCUUGAUACCUAUCAAUCAGCAACGUGUAGUGUGAGUGGUGUACAAACCUCUUCUUCAAUACACAGGGACAAGUGCUUAUCCCAAGGCUCCAAAUUCCACAGGACAUCCCAAAGUUAAUGCCAGGAAAACUACCAGGGGGGUAUGAAGUUAUACCCUUCCUCUUUCUUCCCUGACAAUUUUACAAGGUUGCCAGUUCUAAGAAACAUUAGUGCUUACACUUAUGAAAAUAGAAUAUUAAUGAAUAUUCCCUAAGUGACCUACAGGCGUGAUCCCAACUAACACUGUAAUGAUGAGAGAGCAGGUUAUCACCAUAAAAGUCAGCAAUACACUUGAAGAGCUGUGUCUUGUUUGCAUUUUCGUGAAAUACAGCCUUAUGACUGACAUCAAACUGCUCCCUUUGGGCAAUCAGUUAAGAUCACAAAGCAAAAAGGACAGCCGUUUUAUUUUCUUUGAAAUGCAUGCCUUUUAUGUGCUGUACCUGUGAUACAGCAUCUGUGACUGAAAGCUGCUCUUUUGCAGUAGGAGAACAUAAAUCCCUGGCAGAGAUAUUUCCACACAUUCAGCUUCUCUUUAUGUUUGUGUUCACUGCUGUGGUUUGGAUUUCUCUUACCUACAAACAGUAAAAUUUAUUAUUAAUUUUCAACAUUCGUACGCAAAAUAAGAUCCCCCAGAAGGUCAGGAAACUCGUGGGUGCUGAAAGACUUUAAGAAUAUUGUGAAGAUUUUUAGGCUAAAAUUUCCAAUCUCUCUUCUCCCCUAUCCCAUUUACCAUUUUCUUCAGCAAAGCUGAAGAAGGCAAUACCACUCAGUUACAGUGGUCUCUGGCAGCAAACCUCCUCCUGCUCAAAAUGUACCUUGUCAUGGUUUCAUUGUUUUUCAUCUGUAUUCCACAUCAGUGUUCCAUUCCAUGACAUACCUGCAAAGCACGCAGGCCUUGGUCUAAGCAUAAGGGGACAAGACCCUCAAAAUCACAGAAUCAUUUGAAUUGGAAGGGACCCUUAAAUGCCAUCUGGUCCAACUCCCCUGCAAUGAACAGGGACACCUAUAGGUACAUCAGGUGCUCAGAGCCCCAUCCAGCCUGACCUUGAGUGCCUCCAGGGAUGGGGCUUCCACCACCUCUCUGGGCAGCUUGUGCCCGUGUUUCACUAUUGAGGGACCAGGAGAGCGCACACAGCCUUUGGUGCCUUCACACAUCCUCACCCCAGCAUUAAGCUCUCCCCACCAGCACCAAUGCUACUCCUUAGCUGUCUCCUUGCCCCAGCAGGAGCAAGCUGCACUGCUCACACACACAGCAGCUCACUCCUACUCCUGCCUCCAGGCUCUGUUCCCUCUUUAAUUCCCUCAUUGCACCUUUGUUAACAGAAGCACGUGUAAAAGCUUCAGGUCCCUUUAUGUACCAGAGUCAAACAUUUACUUACAAUCACUGUUGCAGCAAUAACGAUUAAAUUAAACAUGAAGGGAACGUAGCUGCCUGGAAGAUCUACAAGCUGGAGGUGUAAAUCACACCACAUAACUAAUUUAUGACAUUCUGCGCCUACAGCUGUACGCCGACGUUUUGUAAGUGUAAGGGCGGCUCUGAUUUCUAAGUGCUUUUGGCAACAGAAGAAUAGGAAGCUGAUUACAUGUGCCUCUCACCCUGCACCCGAAGCCAUAUAUUAAACAAGGUCGGGGUAGAUCGGCAGCCAGAUGCAAGGGAUAUCAGUAAAUGGUUCGGUUGCAGAGAUCUGGAGAUGGGACCCGGAUUUUCUUCCAGAUAAAUGAUGAACAUUUGAAUCUGUGAAACAUGAGGCAGCAAGAUCUCUCAACCAAAGAAGCUGUCUAAUUGUAUUUUCCAGUGAAAAUGUACUUGAACAAACUUUCUUAAAGGAUAGCCUUACACUCCUAUCUUAUCAGACUUUGAAAAAAAUCUGUUUUCUCAGCCAGAACCUGUGCAAGAUACAGGUCUGUUUUUUGGGGUUGGAUGUCAUAUGUCUUGCAUAUACAUGUCUUUGUUAUGGUUUUAAUAAUCGUGCGCUUGAUACUCUUGUCAAUUUGAAAGCAAAAAUCUGUUUUCAAAUCACUGCCUGCUUAUAAGGUUUUGUUUGCAGAAGCCUUUGAUUUACAGGUGUACCCUAUGCAGAUCGUUAAUGACAAGACAGUUGUGUGGCAGGACUGCAUGCUUAGUUCUCGGGCAAGCACUCCCAUUCUUGGUCACUUUGUCUUUCAUGGGAGUUCUGUGCUUGCCUUAGGCAGAGGAACCAACAACUCCUAAUUUAGGAAGUACAAAGUAAGUAUUUUAGGGAAGAGGAGAAAAUCCUCUGUGACUGAAAAAAGAACAAGCCUCCUGACGUAAUUACACACCAAAAUGAUAAGACAUUCACAGCCAAAAAAAAUGUUAACACAGAUUUCUGGUAACAAAAUAGUUUACUAAAAUAUCAUACAUCGAAUAGCUAGAUCAACAUUCUCAGGUUCUAUGCCAAUAAUGCAAACAUUAUCACAUGUUUCUUUUUAAUUAACAUUACCCAGUAUCCUGCACACAUCCAAGAAGAAUAAUGUCCCUGCCAGAUCCAUGAUGGACAGUUAGCCCUUGUAUCCCAUUCGGCUUUUACAAUAAGGCAAAUGUUUGACUGCAAAAAUCUAUCUCGUAUUCUCAAAAAAGACUGGAAGGGCGAUACCUCCUCAGUAAUGCUGAAUCAGUCAUCUUUCAUGGACAUGCUGGAAAGUCCUAGCCUAAGCUGAGGUUAGGUUAACCGAUGUUUAGAAUUGCAAGAAAUGUACUUAUUUUUCUGUGCUCCAAAACUCAUCUCGUGUCGGAAAUAUACAGUAUGCUGAAAUGAACUUAAUCAACUCUUAGACACCGACAGCUCUGUUGAUUCCUGCAGUCCUUGUUACUCAGUAAGAAGUGCUGGAGAAAGUUUCCAGAGUAACUUUCCAAAUCUAUUCAUAAAAAAGAAAAAGCUAAUUUAAUGAUCUUCCUUUCCAAGAAACAUAAAAAUUCUAAGUUUGUGCAGAUAAACUGCUAACAGUGUCUCUAAAUUCUUGUAUUCAUCUAUAAAAAACCUAAAAAAAGAGAUUAGUAGAUGUACACUGCAGUAUUUUGUUUGCUGUCUUAGCUAUAUUUCCAAUCUUUCUCUGGUGGCCUUUCAUAGGAAAACACACAUAAUUUGGCAAAAGGCUACUAAAGAGUUCUGAUUGUAUUAAAAGCCAUGAUCCAUGGCCUAAGCAGCAAAAGCUAGCUUCAUUUAGCUGAUACGUAUAAACUGACAAGCUCAGCGGCUGUAUUUGAAUAAACAAAUACAUUUGCCUUAUGUGCAAUUGAUUAGUUUUCUUAAAUCAUCUUUUACAGCAGAAUCAUACUAGACAUUUAUUUAUUUAUUUAUUACAUUCUUAUUCGAAGCAACAGACGGAAUGGGAAGGAUUAUGAAAUCAAUUUCUAAUUUAUGUCAGCUAACAGAAAAUUGUACGUUGAGAAAAAUAAUGUGCAGCAACCUGAGGUUUUCACUUCAGAAACUAAUUUGCAGUAAGAAGGGGAACAAGCUACCUAAAUCCAUAAUAUUUCAUUCUGUGCUGAUUGCAGACUUAGUGGUGGCAAGGAAAAUGUUUCAGUAUGACAGGCCAUUAAAUGCCUAACAACAUAUAUUUGGAGGGGACAAAAUAUUACAAAUGCAGUAAUUUGUAGGCAUCUUGCAGAGGUUUCAUAGAAAUUUCAAAUAUGCUCCCUGGAAACAACAUCCAGAAUGGAGUGUUUUGUUUAAACACGCCUGAAGACCUAAUAACCAAUGGCUCAGUAACAAUGAACUUAGCCCUGAAAAUAUAGGGGUAGCUUCUGCAAAUGUGAUUAUCACUGAAUAGCAUCGCCUUCCCCAGUUAGUUAGGAAUGUUCCUGAACUAAAAUAAAACCUGUAGACAAGAAAGCUAGCAGAGCCUGCCAUCAUAGGUAACAUUUCUGUGAUGAUACAAGGCCAGAAUCUGUUCAAGUAAGAUGUAUUUUAAUGCUGCUCAAGAGCAGACACCCCGGAAAGCUGUCCCCUAAUGGGAGACUUUAUCCUUUGGCCACAAGCUCAGCUUGACAUAAGACCAGCAGCAGCACCAUCCCAGGAGCCAGGUGCCUCUUGAAUCUCAACGCCAAGUGGAAGAGAACAAGCAAACUCAUCUGUAUGUAAAUAAACAGCUUUCUGCCUGAACAAAGGCUCUCUGGGAUAGUUUGGUUGGACUGGUCCUGACAGCUGGGGAUAAAACUGGUGCCAGGCACGGAGGUGGAAGUAAAGCACAUGCUGCAGUGAACAGAUGGGACAGGAGAUGCACAAGGGGCUGGAUGAGUGUUUCUCUUUAGUACCAGAAGAGGCCAAGGUGAACAUUAAACUGCACUGUGCUGUCCCAGCUCACAGACAGUCUAUUCUACAAGACUGGGAAUUGAGAGAGACCUGAAAGCAUUCAUUUAUACUUAACAUUUUUCCUUAAAGUGGCCUUGUUAUAACAGAAUCAUUAAGGUUGGAAAAGACCUCUAAGAUCAUCUAGUCCAACCAUCUACCACUAGUAUUGCCCACUGAACCAUGUCCCUCAGUGCCACAUCUCUACAUUUCUUGAACACCUCCAGGGACAGUGACUUCACUACCUCCCUGGGCAGCUUGUUCUAAUGCCUCACCACUCUAGGGAAAAAAAAAAGUUUUUUUUCCUAAUAUUCAACCUGAAUCUCCCCUGGCACAAGUUGAGGCCAUUCUCUCACCUCUAGGGAUAGGGCAUCCACAGCUUAUCUGGACAGCCUGUUCCAGUGCCUUAUCACACUCUUAGAAAAUAAUUUCUUCCUUAUAUCUAAUAGAAAUAUCCCCCCUUUUACAUUAAAACAGCUAUGCCUUGCCCUAUCACUACACUUCCUGAUAAAGAAUCCAUCCUCAACUGCAGACCCUGUAGGCCCGCUUUAGGUAGUAGAAGGCCACUAUAAGGUUUCUCUGGAGCCUUCUCUUCUCCAGGCUGAACAAGCACAGCUCCAUCAACCUUUCUUCAUAGGAGAGGAACAUCCUUGUGUCCCUCCCCUAGGCUACCCUGCCGAGGUCCGUGUCCUUCUUAUGCUGGAAGCCUCAGAACUGAAUGCAGUAAAUCCAGUAGUACAAUAGCAAGCUUGCAUCUAGGAUACAAUAAUGGCAAACAGUGAACAGCAAAGAAAAAUGACUUUUCUACAGGUUACAUGGAAAUAAUAGUGAUUUAAAUGCUGCUGUUAGGCUGUUCAGUCUGAGCCUUUGCACUUACUGAAGGCAGGAACAAAAGCAAAUGUACUACAACAGGGUUUUGAGUCCAACGGCAGAUACAGUUCCAAGCUGGAGAUGCUGUUUGUUCAGCCUGGAUGUAUGCGCUAAGGGAAGGCAAACACCUCCUGUGCCACUCACCCAUGGUUAGCCACCUCCCUGCUAAUACCAUACACGUGGCUAUUUUCUGAAUGGGCAACUUAAAAUAGAGCAGGUUAUUCUUCCACCAAAAAAAAAAAAAAAAAGGAAAAAGAAAAAAUCUUACAUUAUCAGCUGUCAAAAAAAAACAGUGCAUUUUACUUCCAUUUACUUUACAUCAGAAGAAAAUGCAUAAUAUAACUCUCAACAUCUAUCAGGAUAGGGCAUGUUUCUGCUGAAAAUACUUAUCCUGCUCUUCAGGCACAGGUAAGUGAAAAAGGACACUUACACAACUGUCACUAAGUUAAAUAAAAAGAACAGAAAUAAGAAAAAUAAACAAAACCUAAGUAACAGAAUGCUGUAUCAGAAUUUCUGAAUUAGAAUUACUGUAUUAGAAAAUAUGUCAUGGAAACCCUGAAUGACCAAAACAUCUGAAUCACUCCUUGCUCUCUUUGUUGCUGGAUCUUUCCACGUCACCUCCUCAAAAAUUCUCAGGAAGGCUGACACUAUUUGCUUUUUCACCCAUCCUAAUUACCCCUGUUAGUCCCCUGACUUUAUUUGAGCCAGUGCCUCAUUGCUCUUUCUGAGAAUGUUUUCCCUAAUAUUCAACCUGAAUGUCCCCUCGUGCAACUUGAGGCCAUUCUCUCUCAUCCUAUUGCUGUUACCUGGGAGAAGAUGCCAACCCCCACCUCUCCACAAACCUCUUUUCAGGUGGUUGUAGGGAGCAAUAAGGUCUCCCCUGAGCCUCCUCUUCUCCAGACUGAACAAUCCCUGUUCCUUCAGCCACUCCUCAUAAGACUUGUUUUCCAAAUUCACAUUUUUACUACUUCUUUGAUGGCAAAACUGAACUUUGUGUGCAAUUUAAUGAAAUAGGAGUACUGCAUAAGGCAUGAUUUUAUGAACUCCUUGUUCCCUUCCCAGAACCCAAAUAUUUUUCACCGUAUGUGCUGUAAGGGCUCAAUUCCUUAUCUCUGAAACCCCAAAAUACCCUAAAGAUGUUCCGAGUUUUUCUUGCUAAUCAAACAAGAAAUGAGGUUUGUAGUCUGAAUGAUUACUUUGACACAUUUUCUCACUAAGUCUUGUUUAAAAAAGAAAAAAGAAAAAUCCUCCUAACUUCUCCAUCAUACACAACCAGUUCCUCAUAGGGAAAAUGUCUAAAUCAGAUGUACUGUUUAUCUCCCUGCAGAAAGGGACUGUAGUUUAGCUUUAAUCAACCAUUUAUAGCAGCUUUCAAUCCAUCAAAGCGAAGCACAAACAUAAAACAUGUCUCCUAGGUUCACUGUAUUGCGAAGACCAGGACACUCUCCACUGAGGCUCCUCAUGGACAUACUGGAGACAGUCCAACAAAAGACCACUGACAUGACAAAGGGUCUGGAUCAUCACUUCUACAAGGAAAGGCUGAGAGAGCAGGAGCCUGGAGAAGAGAAGGCUCAAGGGGGAUUCUGUGAUGUACAGGUGACGGAGCACUGGCACAGGCUGCCUAGAGAGGCUAUGAAGUCUCCUCCUCAGAGAUCUUCAGGAGCUGCCUGGACAUGGGCCUGGGAACUCAGCCCUGGGUGUCACUACGGGAGCGGGGGUCAGGCCAGGUGAUCUCCAGAGCUCACUGCCAGCCUCAACCAGGCUAUGCUUGAUUCUGUGAUAUGGAUCCAGCUCCAUCACCUGAUGAUUUCCACUGGGAGGAACGCAUAAAGAAAUAAUGCGGUAGCCUUACACAAUCACAAAGUAACCUGCUAUACCUAAAGCUGUACCAAGAGUGCUGCAUGGGCAAAUUCUUCCACCUCAGAAGGAAAAUCUGUGUAGCCUGAAUGGGAGAUAUCUGUCACUACACAGUUCUGCCCACACAGAGCUCACUGAAAGUACACGGCUACAGUUCCCUAUGCCAGGAGGGGAACAUCUUGACAGCUACAGGAACUUUUCUUAAAUACCUGCCCAGAUGGAAGCAUAUGCAGUAAUCUCUUAAGGGAGAGAGGGAAGAGGGUGCAAUUAUUUUCUGUAAAUGAAAGUAUCUUGUUGUUUUUUGUUUGCUUGUUUUUGCACUGCAGAAACAUUCCCUGGCCAAUAGCAGCAUGAUUUUGAGAGCUCAUCCAUGGAGAAGGCAGCCUUGUGGGCCUGCAUCUUCCAGAAAGAAAAAAAAGAAAGAAAGAAAAAAAAAAGAAGUCGCUUUUGUAGAGAAGAGAUGGAAAGAGGCAGAAGUGAAUGGGAGAGAAAGAUGUUACAGUGCUCUGAGGCAGAAAUGGGGACUAAAACAACCGUAAGAAAUGUCUUCAACAUGAUGGAUCUAGAGUUAAUUGAGAGUUUUGCUGGAGUCAAAAGCAGCCCUGUAAAUUCAAAGCAUUUUAGUUUGUUAAUUCAAUCAGGGAAGGUGCUAGAGCACUUUCCCAUGUUCUUCUGUCAGUAACUGAUUCCAGUAGCUUCGCUGUUCAGAUAAGCUUACUUCAUGGCACGUCACAAUUUUCUUAAAGCGAGAAACAGAGAAUGGAAUCUUUUCUGGAAAAAACGUCUGUUCUGAAUGGAGCUCCUCCGGCUGAAUUUUUAAUUUGUCAAGGCACAGUCCUACGAACACAUCCUCCAGUUUGAUGAAUGGAAUGCUCUCCGAAACAUUAUAGAUCUGACUAGCAACAUCGGUGGAUAAAACAUAGCCAGUCCCUGAACAAAAUGGCGGCACUGAUGUCAGCCUGCUGCCCGUUAUCCACAGGGGCUCCCAAGAGGAAAUACGUCACCAGGCGCUUGCCAGCCACCGUUCUCUCCUUCCCCCAGGUUUGCCGGAUGACUCUCCUGGCAUCGAUGUCUUUACAUGAGGAUGCCACAAGCAGGACAAGGAAAGGUUGCCUCAGUGCAGCGCAAAAACAAGGGAGAAAUCAAUCGCAGCUCACUGCUGGCAGCUCUCCUCCUCCUCCCCCUCCACUCCAAUGGUACAGACACAGAAACAUGACAGAAGAGAUGCACAAAAUGCUUUCCGCUUCUUCUGCUUUGCAGGGAAAUACAGGUGAGGAAUGGGGAAUCACUUCCAAAUUUGCUUAAAAAAAAGCACAGGGCACGUAUCCUCAAUUUCCUCUACUUCUCAUUUUGUGCUCAGAAAACUCUCCUUGACUGUUGGCACUUUCCACAGCCUGACCCACCAGCUUCCAGGGGGGAACCACAAAAGCUUCGGCACAGCUGUGUCUGUGCUCCCCAUGGGCAGGGCGGGCACCUCGGGAGCUGCUAGGGAGCGCACUGCGGAUCUCUAUCAAACUUCUUCCCUGCUCAGCGCUGUAAAGGAGGGCAGGGGGACGCAGUCCCACACAGGGCUGCACGCUGACGGGCUGGCAUGCAGGAAUCACAAAAUCAUUGAACAGUUUGGGUUGGAACAGACCUCAAAGCCCACCCACCCCAACCCCUGCCAUGGGCAGGGCUGCCCCCCACCAGCUCAGGCUGCCCAGGGCCCCAUCCAACCUGGCCUUGAGCGCCUCCAGGGAUGGGGCACCACAGCUUCUCUGGGCAGCUGUGCCAGCGCCCUCUGCAUAAAGAAACUAUGAGUUAUGGUGCCAAUAUUUAUUGCUGGGGGAGUGGAGGAAAUGACAAUUCCACAAACCAUAACCCCUGUGAUAGAAAAAGAAAUAAGGAAAAGAAUCAACAUCUCCGUGCCUCUGGCUCAGUAUUGCACUUGAUGUGCAGGUCCACUCCUAUACCGAUGAAGCAUUUAAGCAGAGCAGUAUAAACAUAUGCUUAUAUUUCGCUAGCAGGAAAUUUAAAUCAACAUUUAUCUCCAUAAAGCCAGUCCUCAAAGAAUGAAUCAGGGACCAAAUCGGUAUUGUAAUUGAACUAAAAUAAUCCUAAGCUUCCUCUAAAAGCACAUAGCUUUAACCUGUCACGUCGAAUGAGAAUUAUACACUUAAACUAUAAUCUUCCUGUUCCCUUAGUCAUCAGAGCCCAGAUCAAAGUGAAAGAGGAAAAAAGCACAGAUGCUGCUCGGUUGUGAAGGAGGAGGUGGGGCACACAGGGAGGUAAGCUGUGUUUGGAAAUGGAGUAUUUCUGCUGCCCAAAUCAGAUUCACCUGAGUGCAGCUCAUAGCUGGACACUGGGGCUCGAAGAACUUGCCUUGAUAUCAUCACCUCCUGCAACAGGUGCUGCAAGUUGCAAGUGGCCCUCAUAACAGCGUAUAUUGCCAUGUGGGAAAUCACUGGGGUGUAAGGCAGGCAGAGAGGAGGCUGAGCUGCAGUCGCUCACCAAAAUGCUGUUGUUUGGGGUGGGGUUAGGUUUGCUGUGCUUUGCUGUGGCGCUGGGUUCUUUUAAUAUUAUUAAUAAUGUGAAUAGGAGCUACGUCCCUGGGCUAUGCUGACAAGGCAGCUGCAGGCAGAAGAGCUAUGUCCUUGAGCUGUGCUGAUAAGAGCUGCAGGUGAGGGAUCUGUAGGCAGCACGCCUGGGGUAGGUGCUGGGCAUCACAGUGGUGUUAACACCCAGUUGCACUGGGAGCGUCAGGGCUGUCCACAAAAAAUUAUGUCCACCUGUCUUGUAGAAGCUUCCAGCAUUUCAUUGCAUUGAAUCUACAUGCAAAUCUGUUUCAGUCAGGAGGAAGAAUUUUGUUGCAAUUUUCGGGUCAACGUUUGUGUUGUAAAGACAUUAAGAGCUGUCACCUCGUGUGAGGAACGGUAGUACCAAUAUAACCUAUUUUUAUAGUGUUAAAAUGAUUCUUAGGUCCCAUUUCCAGUUUUGCAGGUUACCGGUGGGCAUGGUUGCUCCUGUGGUGGCACAGAAUGAAGGUGGGGACAGUGAUGGAGUUGGAGAGCUAUAACUGUGUGCUCCCUUGGCAGGACUGGGGUCAGCAUUGCAGAAGCCGCACUAUUAAUCCACUGGAGAUCGAUGAAAACCAACAUUUUUUUUUCAUAGAAUCCACAGAAUUCAUAGAAUGGUUUGGGUUGGAAGAGUCCUUCAAGCCCACUCACCCCAACCUGUGCCGUGGGCAGGGCUGCCCCCCACCAGCUCAGGCUGCCCAGGGCCCCAUCCAACCUGGCCUUGAGCGCCUCCAGGGAUGGGGCACCACAGCUUCCCUGGGCAGCUGUGUCAGCGCCUCACCGCCCUCUGAGUAAGGAAUUUCCUCAUAAGAUCUAACCUAGAUUUCACCCUUUUAGUUUAAAGCCAUUCCCCCUUGUCCUAUCACUAUCAGACCACGUAAAAAGUCAGUUUCCCUCCUAUUUAUAUGCUCCCCUCAAGUAAUGGGAAGGCCACAGUGAAAUCUCCCUGCAUCCUUCUCUUCUCCAGACUA